CAGCCGCCACGGGAACACAGAUGGUGCAAGCGUUAAUCGGAAUUACUGGGCGUAAAGCGCUCGUAGGUGGUUUGUUAAGUUGGAUGUGAAAUCCCCGGGCUCAACCUGGGAACUGCAUCCAAAACUGGCAAGCUAGAGUAUGGUAGAGGGUGGUGGAAUUUCCUGUGUAGCGGUGAAAUGCGUAGAUAUAGGAAGGAACACCAGUGGCGAAGGCGACCACCUGGACUGAUACUGACACUGAGGUGCGAAAGCGUGGGGAGCAAACAGGAUUAGAUACCCCAGUAGUCCCUGUCUCUUAUAC
rnacentral:rRNA from 1 species